CUCUCUCUCUCUCUCUCUCUCUCUCUCUCUCUCUCUCUCUUCAGAACUUGGGUUUCUGUCUUCGUCCAAACUCAGGUUCCAAGGGCCUGAGGAUCCACGACAACCCUGCUCUCGAGCACGCCUCCAAGGCCUCCAAUUUCCUCUACCCGGUCUUCUUCAUCGAUCAACACUGCAUGAAUCCCGACCCGAACGCACCCUCGGCCGGAUCCUCCAAGGCCGGCCUGAACCGAAUCUGGCGCUCAUUAGGUUUGAGUUAAUUUUCGAUCCAUGAUAGAUUCCCAAAUGCCCAGGAAGAAAUUUUGGUUUCCAAAUCGGCAAGCUGAGCAUGGCUCUGAUUUUCAGUUCAUCUUCACCACUCUACUUUGCCUCGUUUUGGAAAGUGGUGCUGCUAGGUGGGUAAUUUUAUUAACAAUUGAAGAAUGGCCGAUAGCAUGAAGCAAUUCCAGAAAAUCUUAAUUGAGCAUGAGACUCAAGCUGAGCACCUCUUUCUAGCUAAACACCAGGUUCAGCGAAUAAUUACUAGUUGUAGAGGUUUUGGUUUCCGGUACAUUUGGUUAAACUGGUGAGAUAUUCUUUUAGCAGAUGAUGAAGAAUCACACAGUAAGUCUGCAUAAUUAUUAAAGGGUUCACUGAACUCGUAGUCCAAAAUUAUUAAAGGUUUUGGUCACCCCACCGCUUCACUCCUCUCUGAGUUUAACUCUCUUAAAUUUCCUCUCGGUGCUGCAAGAAAGAGGUACAAACCAAGACCCAUGAGGGCUGAAAGAGGCAAUGAGUUGCAUAAUGGGAAGUUGAUUGUGCAGAAUUGGGGAUUUCGGAGUUGGCCUGAUGGGAUUCAGUCAAUGGCUAUCCCACUAAGUCUGCUGUGGGGUUGCUUUAUCAAUAAUGCGAUCACCUGCCUUCUCUCUCCUCUGAUCUUGUUCACAUCCCCACCCCUGAUACUCACUGCAACAGAAAAGGACGUAUGGCUGGGUUGAAAGCAUGGGUUUGAGGACUUGGUCCUCUUCAUCUGGUUUGAUUAGUAAUAUGCAAGUGAAGUGAACUCUAGUGUAUCAUCAUGGAGGUAAGACCAUAGCACUUUUAAACUUUUACCACAGUUGGGUUCUUUUUGAGCUCAUUAAUGUCAUAGGUGACCAGAAAACGAGAGCAAACUCAGCCUCUUUCAAACAUACAUCUCUUUUCUUCUUUUCGGUUUAAUGGGUGGGUGAUCUUUGUUGUGUACUGUCUUAGUGUCUUACUUGCAUAUUCGCAGGCUGUCAAUUGUAAGAAUAUUGCUAGUUUUCUUAAUGAAUACCUUCAAAUUGUUUCAGUAAAAAGACUUGUACUUCUAAAGCUUGCGUCUUUUUAUCCUCUAUCCUUUGACAUCGAUCAAAGUCUGAGUGGCUGAGUUCUGAAUCAUACCUUAAGUUUCUA